GUCCCUGUCGAUUAGUGGUUGAAUCAUCACGUUGUGGUGGCUUGUUUAUGGCUUUUCAGACCGUGAAGCCGGGAGCUCGAAUCUCCCCAGGGACA